UGGGGAAUCUUGCGCAAUGCGCGAAAGCGUGACGCAGCAACGCCGCGUGGAGGAAGACGGCCUUCGGGUUGUAAACUCCUUUCAGUUGGGACGAAGCCUUGCCGGUGAAUAGCCGGUGGAGGUGACGGUACCUUCAGAAGAAGCCCCGGCUAACUACGUGCCAGCAGCCGCGGUAAUACGUAGGGGGCAAGCGUUGUCCGGAAUCAUUGGGCGUAAAGCGCAUGUAGGCGGCCUUGUAAGUCCGUUCUGUAAGCCCGGGGCUCAACCCCGGGAGGCGGAUGGAUACUGCAAGGCUCGAGUCCGGAAGAGGCGAGUGGAAUUCCCGGUGUAGCGGUGAAAUGCGCAGAUAUCGGGAGGAACACCAAUGGCGAAGGCAGCUCGCUGGGACGGUACUGACGCUGAGACGCGAAAGCGUGGGGAGCAAACAGGAUUAGAUACCCUGGUAGUCCACGCCGUAAACGAUGGACACUAGGUGUGGGAGGUGUCGACUCCUUCCGUGCCGAAGCUAACGCAUUAAGUGUCCCGCCUGGGGAGUACGGCCGCAAGGCUAA
rnacentral:rRNA from 1 species